AUAACCUGACGUGUCCACCUUACUGCUGUGU
rnacentral:piRNA from 1 species